AGUGAACGCUGGCGGUAGGCCUAACACAUGCAAGUCGAACGGCAGCACAGUAAGAGCUUGCUCUUACGGGUGGCGAGUGGCGGACGGGUGAGGAAUACAUCGGAAUCUACUUUUUCGUGGGGGAUAACGUAGGGAAACUUACGCUAAUACCGCAUACGACCUACGGGUGAAAGUAGGGGAUCUUCGGACCUUGCGCGAUUGAAUGAGCCGAUGUCGGAUUAGCUAGUUGGCGGGGUAAAGGCCCACCAAGGCGACGAUCCGUAGCUGGUCUGAGAGGAUGAUCAGCCACACUGGAACUGAGACACGGUCCAGACUCCUACGGGAGGCAGCAGUGGGGAAUAUUGGACAAUGGGCGCAAGCCUGAUCCAGCCAUACCGCGUGGGUGAAGAAGGCCUUCGGGUUGUAAAGCCCUUUUGUUGGGAAAGAGAAGCAGCAGGUUAAUACCCCGCUGUUCUGACGGUACCCAAAGAAUAAGCACCGGCUAACUUCGU
rnacentral:rRNA from 1 species